CGUCGGUUAGGGUGAGUGAGUCGUGCACGGGGGAAGUCCGGUCGAAGUCCGGCGCUGACCCGCAACGGUAGGUCCCAGUUUUUGGGGCAAGCCCGAAUACCCGCACACGGCUUGAAACCAGU
rnacentral:ncRNA from 2 species